GGAGAGAUGGCUGAGUGGUUGAUAGCUCCGGUCUUGAAAACCGGGAUAGUUCUAGGAACUAUCGAGGGUUCGAAU
rnacentral:tRNA from 1 species